rnacentral:tRNA from 1 species
GUAAUUCUGGUUUAACGUGAACAUUAAUUUUGUAAAUUAAAAGAAAAUAAAUUUAAUUCAGAUUAUU